CCUUUAAGUCUUUACCGGUUUAGACAUAAAAUGGUACAAUCAAUUAAUCAGCUCUAAAAAUAGCAAGCGGCGUGGUGUUUGGUGUUGGGAUGGACGUAAAGAGGAUGAAUUAACAUAACGGGAUCUUAUCGGGAGAGGCUUGAUGGUGCUUGCUCCUAUACGUUGCGUAGUUUUUUAUAAAAACAUCCCGUGCUUCCAUGUAGACAUGAUUUGUUUGAUGUUAGAUAACAAAUAACAUAAACAAUACGAUGGCAGAUAUUAUGCAAAGAUAACAGGCAACGCAAAGCAUUGAAGGUUAACGUGAUGGCAACGUAUGGUAAAUAUUCUGGUCAUAGAGGUUUGGUGUUGUAACGUACAAAUGUUAUUAUAAUAUGUUGUUCACGAGUUUUAUGUCAGGUGAAACGAGAAUAAAGUAUGAACGGCAUCGACACUCUGAGAUUCACGAAGAGCUUUCGAUCCUUCGCCGACAUCAGCAUGUAACAAUACGGCAACAAAUGUAUUAAAAUUAUGGAAGCCUUCAUGUGAAACGUUCCAUGGAAGAAAAAAAGUUUAUAGUUAACGUUCAAUGUCUUUUGGCAUGUGAUAAUGAGGAAAUGAAUAACCAACUGAAGAAAGAUAACAUAUCAUUUCAAUAUUGUUGCUAAAGAUAAACAGUUAAGUGAUGACACACAGAAUAUAUCCUCAGACAAUUGUUUUUCACAUUUGUUCUUUCUAAUCUUUGUCCAUUAUUGCAUUUUUGUUCUGCUCAAUGGUGAUUUAUUCAAUCAAGUAUUGGCAUUAUCCAUUUAUAUCAACAUUCAGUUUAGAUAUAGGCAUGUGUUAACAUCUGUAACUUUCUGGCUUACACACAUUAUGAGUUUUAUGUAACGAGGUCCUUGACAAGAAUUCAUCUCUCAAUACGGAUUCUGGAGUUCCAUUUUUCCAAUCAUCAUAAAAAAUUGUCUUCGUGUCCUGAAUUUGCGCUAUUUUCUUUAACAAUGUAUAUGCAAACAAAGCCAUAAGGUAAAAUGUGGUCAUUUAAUAGUUUACACUUAAACUAAAAAAUGAAACUCACAAAUAAAUGAUAUUCGAAAUGUUCAUUUAUGUAUGGAAAUAGAUUGCCAAAACUUCCCCAAAUAAAUAACACAUUUACUGAAUUAUGUGUUAUUCUUAACAUUGAUACAACGAAUUAACAAUUUGGCACUCCCGACGUACAUAGCCUAUAAUUAAAGACAACAAAAACGACUCGUGCUAUUGUUGCAAUUGUAAUAAUUAACCAUUACAAGCGAAAAAUAUAGAUGAUUCAAAUUAUGUAACUAUUCGGGCUCAAGUACUUUGAAGAGGAUAUUUUACAAUAUUACGUAUCCGCUUCAUUUGGAGACUUAUUUGAAAGUUCAUAAAAUGUGGACGUAUC